UACGUAGGGGACAAGCGUUGUCCGGAAUCACUGGGCGUAAAGGGCACGCAGGCGGUCUAUCAAGCAGGAUGUGAAAGGCGGGAGCUCAACUCCUUGCACGGCAACCUGAACUGACAGACUAGAGUAUUGGAGAGGCAGGCAGAAUUCCUGGUGUAGCGGUGAAAUGCGUAGAGAUCAGGAGGAAUACCGGAGGCGAAGGCGGCCUGCUGGACAAAUACUGACGCUGAGGUGCGAAAGCGUGGGGAGCAAACAGGA
rnacentral:rRNA from 1 species